rnacentral:misc_RNA from 1 species
GACAUUUUUGUUGUCUACCGAGGUUUAAGGUGGCAAAUAAACGUCUUUUGCACCCAUUUUUAACCUCACAUGGCUGUGUGUUGGUAGCGGCUACAAGUUGUAAGGAUCCCAUGCUAGACCCCUCUUGGCGUGGACUAGUAUCCUUCUCUCCUAUCAAGACCAAAAGCAUGUUCCUCUUGGGGCAUUCCCUAGCCUGAUGAGGACAAUCA